rnacentral:rRNA from 1 species
GACGUAGGGUGCGAGCGUUUGUCCGGAUUUAUUGGGCGUAAAGAGCUCGUAGGCGGUUUGUCGCGUCUGCUGUGAAAACUGGAGGCUCAACCUCCAGCCUGCAGUGGGUACGGGCAGACUAGAGUGCGGUAGGGGAGAUUGGAAUUCCUGGUGUAGCGGUGGAAUGCGCAGAUAUCAGGAGGAACACCGAUGGCGAAGGCAGAUCUCUGGGCCGUAACCUUGACGCUGAGGAGCGAAAGCAUGGGGAGCGAACAGG